rnacentral:lncRNA from 1 species
AAGAUUGUUCUGAUAGCUUCUUAAAAGUUGAAAGAGGAUCAGAGAUAUCUCUGCAAGAUUAGAAGAAGCCAUACUUACAGCAGCUUAUGACACAGUGAAGUACUGUACAUGUUGCAGUAACUCUUCCAAAGAUGUYUGAGACCAAGAACAGCUGAAUUGCUCUGCGUUUUAAGAGGCYCUUUUGGGAGACAUCAUUAUACUGCUGCUUCCCCUAUACAGAAACCUGUAGCCCUUGUGGCAACCUGGUGCAGUCCAGUAUCUUCCUGAAUGUGUCUGCUGAGCCAUAAGCAGAAUAUAUAAGCACGAGCAUCUGGCUUCUUCGAAGAAUAGCAUCAGAAUGAAGAAAAUGAUGGAGGAGGAYGAGCUGUGAGCC